rnacentral:tRNA from 1 species
UGGUAUGUAGCUCAGUGGCAAAGCGCUUGCCUAGCAAGUGCGACGUCCUGGGUUCCAUUCCCAGUACCAA